GCCCAGAUGAGUAUUAGUGGUCCCGUGUUCGGGCUUCAAGGCCGUAGUUGGUGAAAGUCAGAAUGGUUCGAUUUUGCCUUCUGGGCG